GUUGCAGAUGCAGGGGAGAUGGCAUGGUUGGGGUAGCGCAAGUGGACUGAACUUCUGCGUUUGUCUAGGCCACACUGCUAUUCUUUAAAUGCACUUAACUUUAAUGAAAUAUUGUACCUUCUUUUUCAGAAAACAGUUACAGUGUUUGCAUGCAUUAAAGUGUAGCACUCAUCAGAGCUAUUGGAGUUAUUUUCUGUUACAAAUGACCUGUUCAAAAUAAAACUUGGGAGAUUGCGGCUAACCUGGUUUUAGGGAGACUUCCCUGCCCCUCCUGCCGUCGUGGGAACUGCCCUGCCCUGUCCAGAAAGACUUUCUCUAAAUGUAACGUAUAUCCAUCCACAAGCUGUACAUCUAGUGCUAUCUGACACCUAUUAGCUUUUACUGCCCUCCUUGUGGCCUUUCUGAGUACUGUAUUAUAUCCCAGGACACAGUCUCUGGACAGACUUGUCAGUCAGAGGCCUUUAUCAUUAGCUUACUAUGGACCUGCCGUCCUGUAGACCUUUCAUGCCAUCUACUGGGACUCUACUGGUGGUGAGUUUUUCUUUGGCAUUGCCUUAGUUGACUUUUAUGUGUAUUUCGUUAAUUAGCAUAGAUACUUGUAUCAAUGUAUAUAACUAUGUAUACUCAGUUCCAAAACAAUUAGCUUGACAAUGUGUCCCCAUGGGGGGAAAAAAAGUAAACUUUCUAUUGAAAUCAUGUGGCCUCAAGUAUAUUUAUUUCCUUCUUACUGUACAAUUAAAAGCCUGUGUGUUGUUUCAGUAUUGAGUUUAUUGCCUCCUGGAUGACUCCCAGUAGAUACUGUAGAUAUGUAAGUGAUGUAAGUCAGACUCAUUAACAGUGGCUUACUCAGCAUGAUGUGAACGUGCAAACGCUCACAGCACCACCCCAUCAACAGGCAGUCAUGCAGGCAGCAGGGCUAUAUCUAGAACAUUCAGGACCGGCUACAAACAGCCUCUAGCUCCCUACCUCUUAGACCCAGGCACACGUGUACUGUACAUUUGAAAUGAUUGGAUAGGUAUAAGCAGUAUGGCAAAGUGGAACUACCAUCAUAGGGCUUAUACCUAUCCAACCCUUUCAGAUCUAUACAAGUAAGUCUGUUUUUGGCAGGGCCCCCUUUCUUUCUAGUGAUAACAACAUUCAAUGCCAUGCCAUGAUUUCCAACCCACGUCCUGUCUAGAUACACAUUGAUCUGUCUGGUUAAGGUCAUUCUUUAUAAAGUUUCUAUAUUUAAAAGGCAAAAGUUUCACCAGCCUCUUGCUGAAACAUCCUAAACAGAUUAGGUGAGAGAGGAUCCAUGAUGAGUGGUACUGUAUCUGUGAGCAAACAUAAUGCCCUCAUUAGGUUAGCACCCUGCCAACCCAUCAUAAUCUGUUAAUGUUCUACUGUUUCAGAUUGCUUUCCUCAGGGUUAGAUUUUGAGUGGGUGAGGUUGUGUGUGUUUGUGUGUGAGAGUGGUAGUGCCCUUGUGACUGUUCUGUCUGUACAGGCCACAAAGGGGAUGUUUCCAAAGAUUAGAGACUAACUGGAUGUGUUUAAACUGCUCCUGAACUGGAAGGCCUUCCUGUGUGAUAAUCCCUAAUAGGAAAACAUCCAUUUUACUCAGUCUGUGUUUUGGUAUUUGUUUUUUUUUCCAACAUCUCUCUCUUAUCUUCCCAUGAGACUAUCACACAACAUUAGCGUUUAGUGUUUCACUUCCAGUGCAUACUCAUGUCAAUGUGACCCUGCAACAGCUCAGUGUGUGUCUGUGUGUGUGUGAGCCUCCCUUUCCCAGGUGCGGUUUAGUGAAGUCAUACCAGAUCAGAGAACUGUCCCUCUCUCUCCUUUCUUUUCCCACUUCCCCCCCCACCCCCUCUCUGUCUCCAUGUCUCUCUAGACUAUGGGAAUUGUAGGGAUUUGGGGCUUAUCUAUCCCCAGUUAAGCCAGACAUGUCCUGAUCUUAUCACUAUAAUCCAAUUCCACAUAAUUUAUCUUAAUAUCAAAACUGUUCUGCCCUUUCAAGUAGCUCUGACAAACAUACACUACCAGUCAAAAGUUUGGACACACCUACUCAUUCAAGGGUUUUUCUUUAUUUUUACUAUUUUCUACAUUGUAGAAUAAUAGUGAAGACAUCAGAACUAUGAAAUAACACAUAUGGAAUCAUGUGGUAACCAAAAAAGUGUUGAACCAAUAAUAAUAUAUUUUAGUUUCUUCAAAGUAGCCACCCUUUGCCUUGAUGACAGCUUUGCACACUCUUUGCAUUCUCUCAACCAGCUUCACCUGGAAUAACUUUCCAACAGUCUUGAAGAAGUUCCUACAUAUGCUGAGCACUUGUUGGCUGCUUUUCCUUCACUCUGUGGUCCAACUCAUCCCAAACCAUCUCAAUUGGGUUUAGGUCGGGUGAUUGUGGAGGCCAGGUCAUCUGAUGCAGCACUCCAUCACUCUCCUUCUUGGUCAAAUAGUGGCGCACUUACUGGUUAAGUGUGCCUUGAAUUUUUUUUAUUUUUUUUACAGACAGUGUCACCAGCAAAGCACCCCCACAACAUCACACCUCCUCCUCCAUGCUUCACGGUGGGAACCACACAUGUGGAGAUCAUCCGUUCAAAAAUCUCAAAUUUGGACUCGUCAGACCAAAGGACAGAUUUCCACUGGUCUAAUGUCCAUUGCUUGUGUUUCUUGGCCCAAGCAAGUCUCUUCUUAUUAUUGGUGUUAUUUAGUAGUGGUUUCUUUGCAGCAAUUUGACCAUGAAGGCCUAAUUCAUGCAGUCUCCUCUGAACAAUUGAUGCUGAGAUGUGCCUGUUAAUUGAACUCUGUGAAGCAUUUAUUUGGGCUGCAAUUUCUGAAGCUGGUAACUCUAAUGAACAUAUCCUCUGCAGCAGAGGUUUCUUUGGGUCUUCCUUUCCUGUGCUGGUCCUCAUGAGAGACAGUUACAUCAUGCUUUUUGCAACUGCACUUGAAGAAACUUUAAAAGUUCUUGAAAUGUUCCUGAUUUACUGACCUUCAUGUAUUAAAGUAAUGAUGGACUGUUGUUUCUCUUUGCUUAUUUCAGCUGUUCUUGCCAUAAUAUGGACUUGGUCUUUUACCAAAUAGGGCUAUCUUCUGUAUGCCAACCCUACCUUGUCACAACACAACUGAUUGGCUCAAACGCAUUAAGAAGGAAAGACAUUCCACAAAUUAACUUUUAACAAGGAACACCUGUUAAUUGAAAUGGAUUCCAUGUAACUACCUCAUGAAGCUGGUUGAGAUAAUGCCAAGAGUGUGCAAAGCUGUCAUCAAGGCAAAGGGUGGCUACUUUGAAGAAUCUCAAAUAUAACAUAUAUUUUGAUUUGUUUAACACUUUUUUGUUUUUUUCAGUUUUGAUGUCUUCACUAUUAUUCUAC
ensembl:lncRNA